rnacentral:sRNA from 1 species
UACCUAGGUUGCAUGGGAUGGGUUGAUCGAUUUUUACUCCCUACUAUCACUAUCUAUGUAUAUAUCUUGAUUGUUUGAUGCAAUUUACUUCGUGGCGGGAAGAUGGAAGAACCUUGUUUUCCUUUUUUUUUUCUCAGGUUUCUUCUGCCGGAUAUGUUCAAGUUGAUUUUGAUGCGGAGAAAUUCCUGCGUGGCAAGGAAGGAAGGUAGGAAGGAAGAAAGAUAUUCCCUGGAUAAGAAACCUAGGCUCAGGAUUUCUGCGUCGCUGAUAGGACCUCGGCAGGUGGUGCCGCGGGCGCCGAGGUGGACGCGCAUUCCGUCGGUUCUUUUUUUUUUUUUUUUUGACUUAUCGUAAUAGCAAGG